CCUACGGGUGGCAGCAGUGAGGAAUAUUGGUCAAUGGGCGCGAGCCUGAACCAGCCAAGUAGCGUGAAGGAUGACUGCCCUACGGGUUGUAAACUUCUUUUAUAAAGGAAUAAAGUGAGGCACGUGUGCCUUUUUGAACGUACUUCAUGAAUAAGGAUCGGCUAAUUCCGUGCCAGCAGCCGCGGUAAUACGGAGGAUCCGAGCGUUAUCCGGAUUUAUUGGGUUUAAAGGGAGCGUAGAUGGGUUGUUAAGUCAGUUGUGAAAGUGCGCGGCUCAACCUUAAGAUUGCCAUUUAUACUGGCAGGCUUGAGUACAGUUGAGGUAGGCGGAAUUCGUGGUGUAGCGGUGAAAUGCUUAGAUAUCACGAAGAACUCCGAUUGCGAAGGCAGCUUACUGAACUGGUACUGACACUGAGGCUCGAAAGUGUGGGGAUCAAACAGGAUUAGAUACCCGAGUAGUC
rnacentral:rRNA from 1 species